AGUGCUCGGAAGGCUGCAAAUUUGCAGCUCCUAUCGAUAAUCUGUGGCAUUUUAUAGACAUAUGAGUUUCAUCCGUUGAGCUGUAAGAACGCAUCUCUUUAGUUUUGGGGUAUGGAAUUUCGGAUUACCGUGAGCUCACACUGUUUACCUGCAUUCUCAUUCCUUGUGCUGUGCGUGAGCGGGACCUGUGAUUUUGUGAAUCUCGUUCUGAAAGCUCUGGUACAUUCGAACGUCAUGCUUAUUGCAGUCGGUGUCCGUACCAGAGGGGAUGGCGAGCUCCUUCUCCUUCACGCUGUUUUCACCAACGGAGAUCGUGACAGCGCUGCACUGCUCCGGGUCGCGACCAGACGACGACAAGCGGCGAGAGGGGCCGAUCGCGAUCGGGCAGCCAUGUCGACGUCGCGGAGGCGGACACUCCUCAAGGUCAUCGUCCUCGGCGACAGCGGGUCAGCCCAUUGCUCCCUCCCCGCUCCUCCCUCCCCCAACCCGGCUCCCCCGUCCCUCCCUCGGAUCCGCUGCACGUGGAUUUCCCGGGUCGCUGUUGUGAUUUCUAGGGAAGCUUUUUGGCGGUUCGAUUUGGACGCGGUUGCUGCGACCCCUGUGUUUCACUCUGUCCCUUUGGUCUGAUUUGGUCCGGUGUGAUCUCUGCAGGGUCGGGAAGACGUCGCUGAUGAACCAGUAUCCUUGACUUGAUUCCCUCAGUGUGUCGUGUUUUGGUAAUUAGACGCCGUUUCAUGUCCGUGCAGUCGGUCCCUCCAUUUCGUGUGAAUUGCUUUUUGCCCCAUGGAUCAACUUACGCCAUAGUGCUCGGAAGGCUGCAAAUUUGCAGCUCCUAUCGAUAAUCUGUGGCAUUUUAUAGACAUAUGAGUUUCAUCCGUUGAGCUGUAAGAACGCAUCUCUUUAGUUUUGGGGUAUGGAAUUUCGGAUUACCGUGAGCUCACACUGUUUACCUGCAUUCUCAUUCCUUGUGCUGUGCGUGAGCGGGACCUGUGAUUUUGUGAAUCUCGUUCUGAAAGCUCUGGUACAUUCGAACGUCAUGCUUAUUGCAGUCGGUGUCCGUACCAGAGGGGAUGGCGAGCUCCUUCUCCUUCACGCUGUUUUCACCAACGGAGAUCGUGACGGCGCUGCACUGCU
rnacentral:lncRNA from 1 species